AUUCUUUUACAAAUGUAUUGGGGCGUAAAUAACUUUCUCUU
rnacentral:tRNA from 1 species